rnacentral:pre_miRNA from 13 species
CAUCUCGGCACAGUUAAUGGCACUGGAAGAAUUCACGGGGUUUUUAUUUAACACACCCGUGAUCUCUUAGUGGCAUCUAUGGUGCGGGAUU